GGUUCGGUGGUGUAGUUGGUUAUCACGUCAGUCUAACAUGCAUAUGAAUGUUGUUCACUGAAUGUCCCGAGUUCAAAUCUCGGCUGAAUCA
rnacentral:tRNA from 1 species